UCUCUAACUCUAAUCCUGUAUAUUACAACUAGGUAAAUACCACUAGGUAAAUACACACAAAGGUAUAUAUAUUAUUAUUUUUCUUUUUUUUAGAGAGAGAGAUUCAUUCGCAGCUCAGUUCUACUCCUAUUUCUUUGUCGUUAAAUUUAUAAGUUGUAGCUAAUAUCCUUUUAAAAAGACAAGAUAUCACUGACGGAAUGGUCAGGAAAAACUUAGUACUAUCUCAUCACGCCUCGCAAUUCUCGUGUUAAUUCUGCUGUCACUGGAAAUUUCCGAGCACUUCAAGCAUCAAGAUUUCCUCGGUUUCGUUUCCUAAAAGGCCACGUUUCUUUGCUCCUCUUCUCCCAUUUUUAUAUUUUUCUUAUUGGUCUUUUUUUCGUUUCUUUAACUUUGAUUCUCCUCAUCUCCAUCUUCUCCAGGUCCUCAUCAUCCUCUUUCUCCUCUCUGCCUUGUCAUCUUUCUCCUCCUUCUCCUCCCCGUCUUCCCCACAGAUAAGCUGCGAUAAGCGUUAUCAGGACGGCGGGUGUUUAUUGCUUGCGGCAAAAACUGCAGUGAGUCACCUUAGUUCAGUGGUCAUCUUAUCGUUACCUAAACCUGCGAGCCCUCGCCUCGGCCCCCGUCACCCCCGCUACGUGCAGUGUUAGUCAAGUUCUACAGUAUAACCGCUGGACUGGUGAAUAAGGUGACAAACCAAAACUGUUUUCGCACUUAGAAGUUGGCCUGAACACAGCUUGGGUCUGGAGGCUGAGUUGGUAAUCCUGGACAGGGAGAGGAAGGAAAUGGAUUGAUUCACGGAAGAAACAUAAUUUUGAUACGAGCGAAACAGAGUGAUUGCGUGAGUCAAGGGGACUUGUUGCUCGCCGCUACGUGAGGAGUGUGUGGCGGCAGGGGAGCAGCGUGUCUGCGGGAACAACUUGUUGCUGCCGCCGUGACCGCCGGGCACGUGCUGCCUGGCAUGAAGCCUCCCCUUCCCGGCCCUUCCGACGCCGCUGCCUCCCACACGGAAGAUAAGAUUACGUCCUCCCGCGACCCCCCUGCCAGUUUAUCUUUCAGUUUUACGCAGAUAAUGCGUCUAGCCGAGGUGUGAGGUGUUUCACUGGAGGUGUGAGGAGCCCGGGCGGCUGCGGGGUGAGGCGCCUCGUCCGGGAUGACGAAGGUAGGUGAUGAAGCUCUACGGGGGAUGACUGCCACGCGAGAACAAGUUGACCAUGCAACGCCCAUCGCCCUCAACCUGCCGCCAGACUGACCAGAGGCGUGUAGACAGAGAGGUGCAGACAGUCCUCCCUGCCGCUGAUGAUCCCGGUGAAGACGAGGGAGCCUUGAGCACAGCGAGCCCUCAG